rnacentral:rRNA from 1 species
AGUGAACGCUGGCGGUAGGCCUAACACAUGCAAGUCGAACGGCAGCACAGUAAGAGCUUGCUCUUACGGGUGGCGAGUGGCGGACGGGUGAGGAAUACAUCGGAAUCUACUUUUUCGUGGGGGAUAACGUAGGGAAACUUACGCUAAUACCGCAUACGACCUACGGGUGAAAGCAGGGGAUCUUCGGACCUUGCGCGAUUGAAUGAGCCGAUGUCGGGUUAGCUAGUUGGCGGGGUAAAGGCCCACCAAGGCGACGAUCCGUAGCUGGUCUGAGAGGAUGAUCAGCCACACUGGAACUGAGACACGGUCCAGACCCCUACGGGAGGCAGCAGUGGGGAAUAUUGGACAAUGGGCGCAAGCCUGAUCCAGCCAUACCGCGUGGGUGAAGAAGGCCUUCGGGUUGUAAAGCCCUUUUGUUGGGAAAGAAAAGCAGCAGGUUAAUACCCCGCUGUUCUGACGGUACCCAAAGAAUAAGCACCGGCUAACUUCGUG